CCAUUAUUGAGAACACAACAAAACAAUCUGGGAAAGAGAAGCCUAUGGUGUCUGAACCAGUGACACAGGUACUUGCAAAAUCUAAGCUACCAAAACCAACAGAACAAGAUGGUGAAGAAAUAGAUGGUGAACAGACCCCAGCAAUGACACUGUCAGAAAUGAAAGAAACGCCAGUUCCAGAAGAAAAAGAUACAAUGGCUGUUGUUCCCAAACCAGAACCAGAAGGGUUUAAUUCAGGGCCGACUAUGAUUGAAGUGCCUACAAUCACAGUGCUGGCACAAAAUUAUACUGCUGCAGAAAUAGAAGUUAGUAAUAUGAGUGAAAAGAGGAAUGAAGAAGAUGCAAAUGCUGGUCUAAAAUGUGAACCUCUUGAACAGGUAACAGAAAAGAUACUGUCAAAUGAGUUGCAAUUAGACAAGACAGAAAUUAAAGAUGAAAUACCUGCAGUAAUGGAAAAAACACCCAUUGCACAAGAAUCACCACUGACCUCUGAAGUUACAGCAAAAAUGCCAGAAGUUGCUGUUUCUGAGAUACAGUCACAAGUAGUGAGUGAACUCAGGGCUGAGACACUUGAAGUGACAGAACCAAAGGUAGAAAUUCCAGUGGUAUCAGAAGUGAAAGUAGAGACAGCUAUAGUAACUGAACUGGAAGUGGAGACACCAGUUGUCACCUCAGUGGCUAAAGAACUUGAAGUAGGAACACCAGUGGUUACAUCUAUGGCCAAUACAACUGAUACUCAUAAUUCUGCUGUUACAUUACAAAAUCAAAACAUAGACUCUGACACAUCAGUGUUAACAACAGUGACCAAAGAACAAGUGGUGGAGAUUCCAACUGUUAUUUCUGUGGUAGUGACACCAGCUACACCUUUAGAUGAAGUAACACCAGUUGUAACUCUAGGCAAUGAGUCAAAGGAUGUACCUUCUGUAAAAGAGACACCUGUCGAAACACCAAAUGUCGAAUCAGUGAUUGUGAGGACUGCUGUAGUCCCAGUAGUAGAGAUACAGAAUGUGAUUCCAGUGGUAGCAACACCAGAUCUUGGUUCAGUAAUAGUAACAGAAGCUGCAACUCCAGUGGUAAGUACAGGAACAGUGACUACUACACUAGCAGAAGCACCAGUUGUGAGCACAGUUGUAGAAACACCUGUUUUUUCUGUCACAGC
ensembl:lncRNA